rnacentral:rRNA from 1 species
UAGCCUACGGGGGGCAGCAGUGAGGAAUAUUGGUCAAUGGGCGAGAGCCUGAACCAGCCAAGUCGCGUGAAGGAUGACGGCCCUACGGGUUGUAAACUUCUUUUGUCAGGGAGCAAUUGGGUCCACGUGUGGGCUUAGCGAGAGUACCUGAAGAAAAAGCAUCGGCUAACUCCGUGCCAGCAGCCGCGGUAAUACGGAGGAUGCGAGCGUUAUCCGGAUUUAUUGGGUUUAAAGGGUGCGCAGGCGGAGGCACAAGUCAGCGGUAAAAUCGCGGGGCUCAACCCCGCUCCGCCGUUGAAACUGUG